rnacentral:tRNA from 1 species
AUUCUUAUAGCUUAAAUUUAAAGUAUUUCUUUGAAGAUGAAAAUAUAGACUUGGUCUUAAGGGUG